CCAGUGUGAGUGUCAUCACUGUUUAAAAAGGAUCCCAGAGUAACAGCUGAGAAGCCUAAAAUUAUGGAAGAGAUAUAAUGGGAGAAGAAGGGACCAUCAGUACAUGCAGACACAAGGACAUGCAGGUCUGUGCCAUCAGACUGUCACACUGCAGCACCUGGGUACAGGCUGCCUUCCUGCACUUCCCCAUGACUGAGCUGCACAGAGGACUUUUGCCUCUACUGAGGACACAGUCUUCCUGCCAGCAGGUUCUCCUGCACCAGUGAGUCAUUCCUGAGUCACUUGUCCUCUUGCCAGGAAGAGCCAGUCUUCUCCCAGGGAAUACAGCAACCUUCCUGGAUGAUACAAAGAGACCAGCUGAAAAGUCAAAUGCCAAAGAAAAGAAUCAUGUUAAGCCACGAUUAUAAAACAUGCCUUUGAUGGCUUGCGCGUUUGCCUUGUAGUACCUCCAAAUCAAAUAUUGUUUAAAUCCCCAUCGACUCACCAAGAUAUAUGGAAGAGACAGGAUUCAGGAGGCUGGCAGGGAAUUAACUGCAUUAACUGCAAAAUAACUGCUGGCUACCACAGCACCAGUGCUGAUGCACGUGGAUGAAUGCACCUAUCUGAAGAGGCAGCUUCUGGAUCCCGUGGGUUUAUUUCAGGCCAGCAGCCUGGCCAGCUCAGACCCUUUGGUCUCCAACUGCAGGGACACCUGCAGCCACCUGCCCCAGGGCCAGGUGACCUCUCAGACCUUGCAGCAGAAGGGAAGGAGGGACAGACCUUGGAGCAUUUCAGGGAGGCUAUAUGAGGGAGCAGGAGAGAGGAGUUUAAUUACUCAGUCUGGCUGGCAGAUGGAUUUUGAAAGUAGCUGCAUCAUAUUAUGACUUCAGAGGACGAACUGAUCCAACAUUUGGAAUGACUUAUAAAGUAAUGUCUUCUGAAUGUAUUUGCUGUGCUAGGUUUAAAAAUCAGCUUGUCCUGGAAUUCCUUACCUCCUCCAGUGCAGGCAGGUGGCCUGGGAGAGGUGAUAGUACAUUUCUUUCCUGGCUCUUGCACUCCUUUUUCCAAUGAAAGCUGUGACUAUUCAUAUACAAGUCAAAUGACUCUGGCAUUAUGCUGAAGUGGUGCCAGUGGUGAAUCAGAGACCUUUUCAAACCACUUGAAUUUUAAGGGGGCAAGAAAGAGUGGAUCUAACUGAAGGCAAAAAAUUAAUAAUGGAUGAAAAAUUAAAAGUGAAGAAUCUAACACUAAAAAAAAGAAUGAUAUGCUAUGCCCAUUUUGACACAGACCUCUUCCUACAGAAAGCAGUAAAAGGUAAAAGUCAUAAAAGGUAUAAUGUAAAGUAAAAGUCAAAUAUCAUUUAAAGUUCAAGUCCUCCUGCAGUACCAACCACAGGGUGAUGCACCUUAAGUUUUAGAUCAGGGUGAGAAAUAUGAAGUAAAACUCCAGGUGAUCCUUUAAUUGAGCAAUUGUAAUAAUGUGAAGUAGGAUUUCACAAGGAAUUUUUAUUCUAAUGAACACAAGAAAUAAUCUGUCAUUAUUUGCAAUCAUAUUCAUUUAGUUUUAAAAGAAUUAUGACAAAGAGAAGAAAAAGCUAAAACACUUUGGUAGUUGAUGUACAAGUGAAAAGAAUAAUGUAAAAUGGUGUGUGUGUGUGGAUGUAAUCCCAGAUACAUGCAUGGAGUUUGUCACCCAGGCGUUCCCAGCACCAUGUACUACUCUGGAAUCAGGAAUGUACAGUACAUUCAGAGAUGCUAUAAUAAGAAAGUAGCACAAGGUAAAUAAAUACUGAAAUUUUUAUGAGUGAACUUUUGUGAACCAGUAUAAUAUGGGAGCAUGAGAGGAACUCAUAAAAGCAGGGCAAAAGCCAAAGAACAGAUGAGGAUGAGAAAGCGAUAUGAUGAGUGCAGCAGAGAAAACAAUGUAAAAACAAGCAUGUCUUUUAUUUGAGAUACAUUCAGGAGAACAUCCACUGAAGCCAUGAAUCUGUUUUAGGAUUCAGGAAACUAAACUCUUGAAUUACAGUUAUGCCCACUACCUGUCUCUGGAGUUACAGCCUCAUUAAAUUCUACCGAAAUUAUAUUAUUAUUGUGUUCCAGAUAUGCUUUGGAAACUCUUGGCUACAGUGCAGGGCAGCUGGAACUGAUUUAUUUGUAUCCAAUACUGCAACUACAUUACAGCCAGUACUCUGUGUUUGCAUACAGCCUCUGCAUGUAAAGAUUCUACAACAGAGUAAGAGGAUGACUGCAAAAAUCAGGGUCUGAAGAUGUGGUCUUGGAAAGCACUCUACAGACACAGCUUCAGAUGAGAGAAACCAGGGGUGAAAAUUAAGAGAAUAUUACAGUCAGUUUCUAAUUAAACCAAGAUCAUAAUACAGAAAAAAAGCCAUAUUCUACAAUAAGAAUCAUGACAGGCCAUGUCUACUGAUCAAGCAGGUGUUCAAGUACAAUCAAAACUAUUAUAAUAUCAUGGAACAUAAAGAAGGGAAGGACUGCAAAAAAUCACUUUUAUCCAGAGAUCAACCGGCACCACUCCUGAGGUGCCAGUUGUUCAUGGAGCUUCCAGAGACGGAGGGUCAGCAGUCUUUCCUUUCUUGGCUGUGAGCUAACCUAGCUGCACUGUGCCAGGACUUAGCCAUAUACCACAACUCUGUACAGGCGAACAAGGAAGGUUGUGCAAUGACACCCGACAGGUUGGGCAGCUGAGCUGUCACCUGCAGAGGUAGGCUUGCUGGUGUUGAGCCAAGCGUGGGGAAACUGUAAAAAACUGUUCUAUCCACUUGGGAAAAGUGGAAAUCCCCUGGUGUUGGCAACCUUAAACAAUACAUGCUCUUUUUACUCUGUUUAAAGAGCAUAUGAACAAUGAUUAUUAUCACCAGUGACAUUAUAUUCCUGAGUAAUUUUCUUAUGCCUCGUAUGAAUCAUACCUGCAUCUGAACUGUAGCAAGUUCUAUAAAGCUGUUGUAUCAUCAAGAUAAUUAAAACAAUGUGUGUUCUUCUCCAAUAUAGAAUUUCAGGUCAUUAUAAAACAGUAUGGCAUAAUCAUAAGUUGAAUGUCUGUGUAAAGUGUUGCUCUUCUAUCACAGUGUCUGUUAAUAGCCUGUUCAUUAAAGCAAUAAAAGUGUAAUUUAUGCCACCUUUAACCAACAAGCUUGAAAAAAAAUAUUUCUGGGAAAUUAUUUCCGAUAUUUACAGAAUCUAAUACAAUCAUGCCCAAACCUUUGAAAAUUAACCAUAUCAGCAAGAACAGUGAGAUGAAUUAUGGAGAUUGCUGAUGCUUUUAAGUGCCGAAACGUCCGCAUCCCAUUUUCCCAACCUCUCCAAUAACAACAGCCACGAUGAUGGGCCGGCUGGUUGUUUUUGCAGCUUGCGAGCAGAGCCGCCCAUGCAGCACCCCCGGCCCCAGCACAAACACGCUCCAGCAGCCAGCAGGCACCAGCCCCAGGCCGCUUCCUCCCGCCGUGCUUCCCAGCUGCUCUCAGCCACGGAGAGCACGGACCCAUCUCCAGUUUCCUCCCAGCGACACCGGAACGCCUGGGUGUAGUUUACGGAGAGGUGCGCCAAAGACAAUUCCCAGGCUACCAGACAGUUUCCAUUUCAGAAGGCUCCUCCACUCAGCUCUCUGCUGCAAAAGCUGCAGCCAAACUUUUCGCUAUGCCUCUGCGUACCAGCAGCAGCAAAAUCUUCAGUCCUGGCUCCUCUGACUUUCUUUCUCUCAGAAUUUUUGCGAGUGGACAACGCAUACUCCAGUAGACAGCAGGUGGGUAGGAUCUGACCUGUGACUUUAUUUCCUCUGGAGCAACCGGAUGGCAAUGCAGAGAUCCCAGAGACCACCUGGCAGGCUCCAAGUUAAGGGUGUUCUCAAAUCUCACCUGCCAGGGGCCUGCCAAUAAACUGGUGCAGACCCAGGCAAUGCCACUCCAAGUUAUGGCUCUUGUCACUUGCCAUGCACUUUCUCAGCAUUUUCUGUACACAGACUUUCUUAAAGUAAAUAAAUAGGAAAUAUGGGAA